CCCUGUUCCCUAUACUCCUAGAGUUACAUGAAUGUCUAGUUUAACUUUCAUAUCUUGUAUUGUUUAAAAAAUAAAAAAUAGGCUGUUUUACGCUGGAGUUACAAAUGACAAUGUAUGUACAAUACGCAUAUGCCAAGUGUUCCUUGUUUGACACUCCGUUCGUGAAAUAUGUCCAGACAAAUGAACCCCAUCCCUCCUCAGGACAUUGGAGUUCUCCCCUUCCAGCUCCACAUGCC